rnacentral:rRNA from 1 species
GAUGAACGCUGGCGGCGUGCCUAAUACAUGCAAGUCGAGCGAACAGACGAGGAGCUUGCUCCUCUGACGUUAGCGGCGGACGGGUGAGUAACACGUGGAUAACCUACCUAUAAGACUGGGAUAACUUCGGGAAACCGGAGCUAAUACCGGAUAAUAUAUUGAACCGCAUGGUUCAAUAGUGAAAGACGGUUUUGCUGUCACUUAUAGAUGGAUCCGCGCCGCAUUAGCUAGUUGGUAAGGUAACGGCCUACCAAGGCAACGAUGCGUAGCCGACCUGAGAGGGUGAUCGGCCACACUGGAACUGAGACACGGUCCAGACUCCUACGGGAGGCAGCAGUAGGGAAUCUUCCGCAAUGGGCGAAAGCCUGACGGAGCAACGCCGCGUGAGUGAUGAAGGUCUUCGGAUCGUAAAACUCUGUUAUUAGGGAAGAACAACUGUGUAAGUAACUAUGCACGUCUUGACGGUACCUAAUCAGAAAGCCACGGCUAACUACGUG